GCAGGAGUCUCAUUAUCCCGGGUCUCGUCAGCAGGAGUCUCAUCAACCGGUUCAGAAUCAGAGGAAGAGCCCGGAUCAGCAUCAGCACCCGGAUUGGCAGGAGGAAGAAAGCUAGGAGAAGGGCCUUCGUAAGGCUCCGGUUCUCCUUUCCCAGCCUUGAUUUCAUCCUUAGCAGCAAGAUAGAGCUCUAUAAAACUCUGCAAGGAAGCCUCCGGGUCAGUCUUGAUGUGCCGCUCGGCAACAUGCCAACACCGGACGACUUCAAGAGCUCCAGCGGCGGCCAAGGCAUCCGCAUAAGCAGAGGACUUCUGGAAUUCUGCAAUAACCUUCUCCGGUUCCUCUCUCCCUUCCAAAAGCCUCUUCAGAUCAGCCACUUCCUUCUCCAACCCGGUGACUUUCUUCUCAGCGCUAUCAGCCCGGGUACCAGCAUCUUUAAUCUUCUGAUCCAGUUCAGCUUCUUUCCGGAUCUCAGCCUCCUUGAUCUUAGAGGCCAUCCCGGCCUCCAAAGCCUCCCGGGCUGAUUUCUCCACAUCAAGAUCCUUCUCCAGCUUUGUGACCCGAGCAAGGCUUUUCACGGAAAGAUCCCUCUCCUGCUUCAAACUGUUCAAGGCAUGGGUAUUGAACCCGGCCAGACGACCACCAAGCUAGAAAAGAAGCAGAAUACCGGGGUCAAUAAAACCAGAAAUUAAGAAAAUGAAGAAGGAAAGCAAAGUACAAGAAAAAAGAGAGAGAGAGGAGUCGGAUCGUAAGAUACCUGACCCCACAAGUUCCCAAUUUCUUUGAAAUUCGAGGCAAGACCCUCGUCCUCCAUCAUCUCCCAGUCCUGGUCGGAGGGGAGUUCGGACAUCAACCCGAGCACCUUCUUAACCGGGUACUUGCCGAAUUUAGGGGCCGGGCGGGAACCACCCUCAACCUCGACUCCAAGAUCCACCACCUCCAUAGCCGCCUUGCCCGGAUCCUCCACAGUCAUAUCAAUCACUUCCCUUUGUGAAGAACCAGCAUCAAUCUUCUUCCUUUUUCUUUGUGGUCCUUGAUCCGGGCUCUCCACUUCUUCAGCGUCAGCAACCAACUCCGGAUCCGGAGUUGGUUGCGGAGUAGCACUGGAAUGCCCGGUACCCUCCGUCCCUUGACGGGAGGACCCGGACUCCCCUCUUUUCGACCCGGACUCGCCCUUCUUCGAGUCUCCCUUCUUCCCCGACUUCUUCUUUGGUGGAGGCUUCGGAGCCACAUGCACACCUCCCAAAUUCCGAAGAGCAGCAGCAAAAGAAUCCUUCGCAGACAUGAUAGCCCAAAGAUCCGGAUCAAAGUAUGGGAGACCUGCCAAAAAGAAGAAAACCCGGGUCAAAAACAAAGAACAGGGACAAAAAUCCAACAAUAUCAUACUAAAGAAACAUGACUAAAGGAACAGUCAAGCCAUAAACAGAAGGACCCGGACAAACAGAAGGACCCGGACAAACAGAAGGACAAGACACUACAAAAGCAAAGUAAAAAAGCGAAAAGAGAAGACAACUCACAACCACCCUCGUGCAGCUUAUCAUGCUGCAUGAAUGUAUCCCGGGUUAAUUGGAACCCGAUGCAAGUACAGAAUUCGACCAACUGCGCCCGGAAUUCCCCAUCAGCACCCGGGGCACCGAAGUCGGUCCUCACCUUCUUAUCGUCAGUCUCCAUAUAAGGCAUAAAGGCCAGAUCCAGACCCUUAAGCAUAAGAACCUCACCAUUCCAAAGCUUCAGCGAACUUUGGUGAAUCACCGGACUCACGAGCCCGGUCCCCAGGCCACACUCCUUCGAACGGAAGCGAAGCUCGUACAAAGGUUUCACACCGGACUUUUUAAAUUGAAACAGAACGUGGAACAGCUUCAACGUCGGAUAAUAGUUCAUCUUAUUACACGCCCACAGGAACCAGGUCAUCCAUUUGACCGCGUUCGGCGUCAGCUGCAUCGGAGAAAUCUUCCACUCGUACUUGCACAAAUGCUUGAAAAAAAUGUGCCACCGGGGGUUCCAGCCGGAUCGAAGGUGCUCCAUCCAUACCGGAACAAAACCAUCUUCGGGCCGAUGAUAUAUCAUCUCCCCGGGCUCAGGCCACCUCCACUCGACUUCGGGAGGAAGCUGAAAAGCUGCCCGGAUCAUCCGGUCCGCCAUAUCUGGAGCCAUCUCUUUGACAUAACUCCUCACCGGGAACGGAGCCCGGAUCCCAGGAAACUCUCGGAACAUCUCAUCGAAUUUCUCUUUAUUAUAAGGGGCCAAUUUCCCGUUCGGGUGUUUGGAUCUAUAAAACCCCGACAUAUUAACAUAAAAACCCUUCUCUUC
rnacentral:lncRNA from 1 species